rnacentral:lncRNA from 1 species
UUAUUUUCACAUUGCACUGGGAUUGGCAUGCCCUCUUCUUUAUGCUCUCCCAGUGCUGGAUAGCCCUUGCACUCUGCAGGUCUUGUUACCAUUGCACGCAGAUGGGUUUCAGGACUGGUACUUCUUCUCUGCUAUAGAAUCUAUACCUUCCUCUAGGGCUUGGGGAUUGUGUUGCCAACUUAAAUUUUGUCAUUACUACCAGGCUACCUGUGUUAUCCUAUUUCUCACCGUCGUCACGAUGCAGGAUGCGAGGCAAGGCACUGCACUUGAG